GAAUCUUCCACAAUGGACGAAAGUCUGAUGGAGCAAUGCCGCGUGAGUGAAGAAGGUUUUCGGAUCGUAAAACUCUGUUGUGAGGGAAGAACAAGUAUGAGAGUAACUGCUAGUACCUUGACGGUACCUCAUUAGAAAGCCACGGUUAACUACGUGCCAGCAGCCGCGGUAAUACGUAGGUGGCAAGCGUUGUCCGGAAUUAUUGGGCGUAAAGCGCGCGCAGGCGGUCCUUUAAGUCUGAUGUGAAAUCCCACGGCUCAACCGUGGAAGGUCAUUGGAAACGGGGGGCAUGGAGGGAAGAAGCGGAAGGGGGAAGGCCCACGGGGGACGUGAAAUGCGUAGAGAUUUGGAGGAACACCAGUGGCGAAGGCGGCUUUCUGGUCUGUAACUGACGCUGAGGCGCGAAAGCGUGGGGAGCAAACA
rnacentral:rRNA from 1 species